AUUGAACGCUGGCGGCAGGCCUAACACAUGCAAGUCGAAUGGUAACAGGAAACAGCUUGCUGUUUCGCUGACGAGUGGCGGACGGGUGAGUAAUGUCUGGGAAACUGCCUGAUGGAGGGGGAUAACUACUGGAAACGGUAGCUAAUACCGCAUAACGUCGCAAGACCAAAGAGGGGGACCUUCGGGCCUCUUGCCAUCAGAUGUGCCCAGAUGGGAUUAGCUAGUAGGUGGGGUAACGGCUCACCUAGGCGACGAUCCCUAGCUGGUCUGAGAGGAUGACCAGCCACCCCGGAACGGAGACACGGUCCAGACUCCUACGGGAGGCAGCAGUGGGGAAUAUUGCACAAUGGGCGCAAGCCUGAUGCAGCCAUGCCGCGUGUAUGAAGAAGGCCUUCGGGUUGUAAAGUACUUUCAGCGGGGAGGAAGGGAGUAAAGUUAAUACCUUUGCUCAUUGACGUUACCCGCAGAAGAAGCACCGGCUAACUCCGUG
rnacentral:rRNA from 1 species